GUAUAAUGAUUGGUUAAGGUACAGGUUCACCCCAGGACUCAAGUUUCACUCUAUAAACUGGGGUCCAAAAGGAAGUUCUUUGGGAACCAGUUCCAGGACACAGCCCCAAGAACAAAGCUGCCAGACCUCCACACUCUGCCAAUGACACCGUGCAGUCCCCCAGAUGGACCUGAUCAUGACUGGCCAUCAAGAAAAGUUCAUCUGCCUAACUGGGAAUGACGGAAGUGUUCAUCACCAAUUGUCUCUCUGUAACCUUCACCAGACGGAUCCUGUAGAAAUAAGAGAUUCUACAGAAUGCACUGGUGUCUGAACAACCCUGAAGAACCUGAAAACUUCCCUUUCUCCUUGUGCAUGUACAUUUUAAAUAAAGUUAUGAACUGGUGGC